GUCUCAAGUUCCUUUGGAAUAUCACACACAGCUCUUUCAAUGGUCCAUCAGCCAACAAUCAGCAAGAAACCUGUUGAUAGUGUCAUGUAAAGCAAUUGGCAACCUGUUGAUAGUGUCAUGUACAACAGGAGUGCAUUUGGAAUCUAAAAAAGAAGGAUGAAUAACCUGAUGUCAUAUUGCAUCUCAAACGGUUGGUAAAACUCAUCUGUCAAAUCAUAUAUAUAUAUAUAUAUAUAUAUAUAUAUAUAUAUAUAUAUAUAUAUAUAUAUNN
rnacentral:lncRNA from 1 species